rnacentral:lncRNA from 1 species
UGGAGUAACAAUAUACUAUAUAACAUUGCCUGGAAGUGUCAGAUGCAGGAAGCUCCUAUCUAAACUGGUCAACUGUCCCUUCGAAGAACAAACAGAACAGCUGAAGACGUUGAUUCUAGUUCUGGACCUCUAAUAUGGAAUCACCCUUCAGUCUGGAUGCCAGGAGUCGCAGAGACAUGCAGUCUAGUUAUGUACACCUGAACAAUUGUCUUCAUUUUACCUUUCACACACUUCUUUUAAAUAAACCAUUGUAAGCCAGCCAUGACAAACCUAUACUUUGCUCAAUAAAAGUACUGCCAUUCAUCUUG